AAUUUAAUGAUUAUUAUAGUUAAAAGUUAUAUUUUUAUUAUUGUAAAUAAAUUUUUUUUAUUAAUUUUUAUGAAAAAAUUUUUUUUAUUAUAGUUAAUUAGUAUAGUAGUAGAAUUUUUAAGUUAUUUUUAAGAAGAAUUUAUUUUUUGUACCUUGUGUUUCAGGGUUGAUUAAAAUAUGAUAUGUAUUUAUUAAUCUCGAAUUUAAAAGAGUUAAAAUUAUAUUUUUAUAAUUGUUUCAUAAAUUUUAUUAAUAUAAUUUUAGUAGUGAAAUGUUAUUCGUUUUUAAAUAUAUCUAGUUUUUUAAGAAAUAAAUUUAAUUUAUAAUAUUAUUAAUAUUUAUUUAUUUAUUUAGUUAGAUAUUAUUAAUAUGAAAGAUUUUUAGGGAUAAGCUUAAAAAUUUAUUAUUAUUAAUUUAUAGAAUUUAAAAAUAUAUAGGAUUGAAAAUUUUCAUUUUUAAUAAUUUGUUAUAAUUAUUUUUUACAAUAUAUUUUUUAUAUUAUAUUAUAAUUUUUUUAUUAGAAUAUUUGGUUUAAUUAUUAUAUUAAAGUAAUAAUGAUUAAAUUAGUAUAAUUUAUAUUAUAAAAAUAGAAUUAUUUUUGAGAUUAAUUAAAGGAAUUCGGCAAAUUUAUUUUCCACCUGUUUAUUAAAAACAUGGCUUUUUGAUAUUAAUUUAAAGUCUUGCCUGCCCACUGAUAAUUUAAAUGGCCGCGGUAUUUUGACCGUGCUAAGGUAGCAUAAUCAUUAGUUUUUUAAUUGAAAGCUGGAAUGAAGGGUUUAAUGAGAAAAUUUCUGUCUCUAAUUAAAAAUUAAAAGUUUAUUUUUAAGUUAAAAAGCUUAAAUUAUUUUGAAAGACGAGAAGACCCUAUAGAGUUUUAUAAAAGUUUUUAUUUGAAUUUUUUAGUAUUUACUAUUUUGGUAUAAAUUUUUAUUUGAUUGGGGUGAUUUAAAAAUUAAAUUAACUUUUUAUGGUUUUAUCAUUUAUUUAUGUAUUUUUGAUCCAAUUUUUUUGAUUAAAAGUUUAAAUUACCUUAGGGAUAACAGCGUAAUUUUUUUAGAGAGUUCAAAUCGAAAAAAAAGAUUGCGACCUCGAUGUUGGAUUAAAAUUUAUUUUUGGUGUAGAAGCUAAAAAUUUAGGUCUGUUCGACCUUUAAAAUUUUACAUGAUCUGAGUUUAAACCGGUGUGAGCCAGGUUGGUUUCUAUCUUUAAGUAAAUUUUUUGGUUUAGUACGAAAGGAUCAAUUAAAAAAAUUA
rnacentral:rRNA from 1 species